rnacentral:rRNA from 1 species
GACAGAGGGGGCAAGCGUUGCUCGGAAUUACUGGGCGUAAAGCGUGCGCAGGCGGUUUUGUAAGUCUGUCGUGAAAUCCCCGGGCUUAACCUGGGAAUUGCGAUGGAGACUGCAAGGCUAGAAUCUGGCAGAGGGGGGUAGAAUUCCACGUGUAGCAGUGAAAUGCGUAGAGAUGUGGAGGAACACCGAUGGCGAAGGCAGCCCCCUGGGUCAAGAUUGACGCUCAUGCACGAAAGCGUGGGGAGCAAACAGG